rnacentral:rRNA from 1 species
AAAUUGAAGAGUUUGAUCAUGGCUCAGAUUGAACGCUGGCGGCAGGCCUAACACAUGCAAGUCGAACGGUAACAGGAAACAGCUUGCUGUUUCGCUGACGAGUGGCGGACGGGUGAGUAAUGUCUGGGAAACUGCCUGAUGGAGGGGGAUAACUACUGGAAACGGUAGCUAAUACCGCAUAAUGUCGCAAGACCAAAGAGGGGGACCUUCGGGCCUCUUGCCAUCGGAUGUGCCCAGAUGGGAUUAGCUAGUAGGUGGGGUAACGGCUCACCUAGGCGACGAUCCCUAGCUGGUCUGAGAGGAUGACCAGCCACACUGGAACUGAGACACGGUCCAGACUCCUACGGGAGGCAGCAGUGGGGAAUAUUGCACAAUGGGCGCAAGCCUGAUGCAGCCAUGCCGCGUGUAUGAAGAAGGCCUUCGGGUUGUAAAGUACUUUCAGCGG